ACUCUGCUUCGGGGUCCGACUAAUCCAUGCGAGUCAUGGGGCUCCCUUUUGGGAGCACCGGCGAACGGCUCAGCAACACGUGGCUAACCUACCCUCGGGUGGGGGAUAACCUCGGGAAACUGAGGCUAAUCCCCCAUAGGGGAGGAGGUCUGGAAUGAUCCCUCCCCGAAAGGCAGUAAGCCGCCCGAGGAUGGGGCUGCGGCGGAUUAGGUAGUUGGUGGGGUAAUGGCCCACCAAGCCUACGAUCCGUACGGGCCCUGAGAGGGGGAGCCCGGAGAUGGACACUGAGACACGGGUCCAGGCCCUACGGGGCGCAGCAGGCGCGAAACCUCCGCAAUGCGCGAAAGCGCGACGGGGGGACCCCGAGUGCCCUGCCUCUGGCAGGGCUUUUCCGGAGUGUAAACAGCUCCGGGAAUAAGGGCUGGGCAAGUCCGGUGCCAGCAGCCGCGGUAAUACCGGCGGCCCAAGUGGUGGCCACUGUUAUUGGGCCUAAAGCGUCCGUAGCCGGCCCGGUAAGUCUCUGCUUAAAUCCCGCGGCUUAACCGCGGGGCUGGCAGAGAUACUGCCGGGCUUGGGACCGGGAGAGGCCGGGGGUACCCCAGGGGUAGCGGUGAAAUGCGUUGAUCCCUGGGGGACCACCUGUGGCGAAGGCGCCCGGCUGGAACGGGUCCGACGGUGAGGGACGAAGGCCGGGGGAGCAAACCGGAUUAGAUACCCGGGUAGUCCCGGCUGUAAACUCUGCGGACUAGGUGUCGCGUGCCCUUCGGGGGCACGCGGUGCCGAAGGGAAGCCGUUAAGUCCGCCGCCUGGGGAGUACGGUCGCAAGACUGAAACUUAAAGGAAUUGGCGGGGGAGCACUACAACGGGUGGAGCCUGCGGUUUAAUUGGAUUCAACGCCGGGAAUCUCACCAGGGGCGACGGCAGGAUGAAGGCCAGGUUGACGACCUUGCCAGACGCGCCGAGAGGUGGUGCAUGGCCGUCGUCAGCUCGUACCGUGAGGCGUCCUGUUAAGUCAGGUAACGAGCGAGACCCGUGCCCCAUGUUGCCAUCCUCCCCUCCGGGGGAGGGGCACUCAUGGGGGACCGCCUCCGCUAAGGAGGAGGAAGGUGCGGGCAACGACAGGUCCGCAUGCCCCGAAUCCCCUGGGCUACACGCGGGCUACAAUGGCCGGGACAAUGGGAUGCGACCCCGAGAGGGGUAGCAAAUCCCCUAAACC
rnacentral:rRNA from 1 species